UGAAACUGCUCAGAGGCAAACGGGUGGGCCCUCGAAAUCCUACUGCGGAGGGAUUCAGUCGGGCGUCGUUCGAGGCACGCGGGAACCGGACCCUUAAGAAAGGACGGCCCCGCGGGAUCGGGCGCGCACGACGCACUUCCCGCCGCACUUUGGACGCCGCAUCGAAUCGGGUAGCUGCGAGAGUCGGCCUUGAGGCGGUCCCAGGAGGUGACUGGGGAGUUGGCUUCGGCUUUCUCCUCGGAUCUUAACGGGGCCGUACGUGGCGCGACACCCGAUCGUUGUCCUGGAGUCCCCCUUGCGGGGGACCUCAUCUCCUGCCCUCUGGGUCGCGGUGCUGCGGCCAGCGUGCGUCGGCGAGAGCGAACCACUCCCCGUAGUGGCCGUUCCGUCGGUUGUGCGAGUUGGGUCGUAGCGUGCCGCGGAGGGAGAGAGACUUGCGGCGAAUUAAGUCGGUCACCCACCCGACCCGUCUUGAAACACGGACCAAGGAGUCUAACAUGUGCGCGAGUCGCAGGGUCUUGUACAGGCCCUCGGGCGCAAUGAAAGUGAAGGUCCUCGGACCGAGUUGGGAUUCCGCGCUCGUCGUGGAAGCACCAAUGGCCCGUUCCGUCCGACUCGUCGGUGGAGCGGAGUUCGAGCGUACACGUUGGGACCCGAAAGAUGGUGAACUAUGCGUGGGCA
rnacentral:rRNA from 1 species